ensembl:lncRNA
CAAACAACCCGGAGCUGUACGACACCAGCUGCUUUGUGUACCGAGACGGGAAUAUAAAGGACCGAGCUUGGAGGAAGAAAUGUGAAGAGAUCGGAACCAGCUGAUUCUUCAGCAGAGCAUCCCCUGUUGCUUCUCCUUGCUCCCCAGUCCCUGAGCUCCUGCUGCUGCACCCACAGGCCCAGAGAGGAGGACAGCUCCGAGGCAGAUGAGGGAUGGGUCCCAGGACGGUCCAUCGGCGGUGGAGCUGGCCAUCCUGGUGUCCCUGAAGAGGCCACGCCAGUCUCCAAUGGAGCAUUUCCUCCUCAGCCUUGUUCCUGCUCUGGAGAGCAGCUG